rnacentral:lncRNA from 10 species
GGGAAAGGAUGGAGGUUCAACUAAGGAAGAAGAAUGAAGUAAAAUCUUGAACUUAAGGAAGCCGCCUCCCUUUGGGUGGAGGAAGAAGAACUUCUAAAUAGCAGCUAAAAGUAAACCAAAGCAAAUGAUUGAACCAUGACAAAAGGGCAAGUUUGGAGGAAGCGGAAGGUAUACCAUGGGAAGCAGCUCUUAGGUUUUCUCACAAGAAAAAAACAGCAUUGAAGAUAAUCAUAAUCCCCUGAAGUAGGAUCUUUAACUGGAGAUAUUCAGGACCAGAAAGACUUCAACCUACAGAAUGAUAAUUAACAGGUGAUGUUUGGCAUUUUGAGAAAGUGUUUCGGGCCCA